rnacentral:rRNA from 1 species
ACUAACUACGGAUAACAACAGAUGAUGCCUAUCAACUGUUUAAAAGAUGGUUCUGCUAUCACUCUUGGAUGGACCUGCGGUGCAUUAGCUAGUUGGUAGGGUAACGGCCUACCAAGGCGAUGAUGCAUAGCCGAGUUGAGAGACUGAUCGGCCACAUUGGGACUGAGACACGGCCCAAACUCCUACGGGAGGCAGCAGUC